GAUGAACGCUGGCGGCGUGCCUAACACAUGCAAGUCGAACGGAAAGGCCCUGCUUUUGUGGGGUGCCCGAGGGGCGAACGGGUGAGUAACACGAGAGUAACCUGCUCUUCACUUUCGGAUAACAUCAGGUAACUGGGGCUAAUACCGGAUAGGAGCCCCUGCUGUAUGGUGGGGGUUGGAUAGUCUGGGCUGUUGGGGAUGGACUAGCGGCUUACCAGCUUGUUGGUGGGGUAGUGGCUUACCAAGGCUUUGACGGGUAGCCCGCCUGAGAGGGUGACCAGCCACAAUGGUACUACGGUACGGCCCAGACGCGAACGGUAGACAACGGGGGGAAGUCUUACACAGUGGGCGGGAGCCUGAUAAGGAGGCGCCGCGUGCGGAAAGACGUCCUUCGGGUUGUGAACCGCUUUAGCCUGUGACGAAGCGUGUGUGACGGUAAUGGAUAAAGAAGCACCGGCUAACUACGUG
rnacentral:rRNA from 1 species